rnacentral:rRNA from 1 species
AUUGAACGCUGGCGGCAUGAUUUACACAUGCAAGUCGAACGGUAACAGGCCGCAAGGUGCUGACGAGUGGCGAACGGGUGAGUAAUGCAUCGGAACGUGCCCAGUCGUGGGGGAUAACUACUCGAAAGAGUAGCUAAUACCGCAUACGAUCUAUGGAUGAAAGCGGGGGACCGUAAGGCCUCGCGCGAUUGGAGCGGCCGAUGUCAGAUUAGGUAGUUGGUGGGGUAAAGGCUCACCAAGCCAACGAUCUGUAGCUGGUCUGAGAGGACGACCAGCCACACUGGGACUGAGACACGGCCCAGACUCCUACGGGAGGCAGCGGUGGGGAAUUUUGGACAAUGGGCGCAAGCCUGAUCCAGCAAUGCCGCGUGCAGGAAGAAGGCCUUCGGGUUGUAAACUGCUUUUGUACGGAACGAAACGGCUCUGGUUAAUACCCGGGGCUAAUGACGGUACCGUAAGAAUAAGCACCGGCUAACUACGUG